GCCGAAGUAGCUCAGUGGUAGAGCAGCUGUUUUGUAAACAGCCGGUCGUCAGUUCGAUCCUGACCUUCGGCUCCA
rnacentral:tRNA from 1 species